rnacentral:rRNA from 1 species
GUAAAGCACUUUCAGUAGGGAGGAAGGUAGUGUAGUUAACAACCUGCAUUAUUUGACGUUACCUACAGAAGAAGCACCCGGCUAACUCCGUGCCAGCAGCCGCGGUAAUACGGAGGGUGCGAGCGUUAAUCGGAAUUACUGGGCGUAAAGCGCAUGCAGGCGGCCUGUUAAGUCAGAUGUGAAAGACCCGGGGCGUUAACCUCGGAAUUGCAUUUGAAACUGGCAGGCUAGAGUCUUGUAGAGGGGGGUAGGAAUUUCUAGGUGUAGCGGUGAAAUGCGUAGAGAUCUGAAGGAAUACCAGUGGCGAAGGACGGCCCCCCUGGACAAAGACUGACGCUCAGAUGCGAAAGCGUGGGGAGCAAACAGGAUUAGAUACCCCUGGUAG